rnacentral:rRNA from 3 species
CUGUGUGUUGUUGGGUAGGGGAGCGUUCUGUAAGCCUGUGAAGGUGUGUCGUGAGGCAUGCUGGAGGUAUCAGAAGUGCGAAUGCUGACAUAAGUAACGAUAAAGCGGGUGAAAAGCCCGCUCGCCGGAAGACCAAGGGUUCCUGUCCAACGUUAAUCGGGGCAGGGUGAGUCGACCCCUAAGGCGAGGCCGAAAGGCGUAGUCGAUGGGAAACGGGUUAAUAUUCCCGUACUUGGUGUUACUGCGAAGGGGGGACGGAGAAGGCUAUGUUGGCCGGGCGACGGUUGUCCCGGUUUAAGCGUGUAGGUGUGUGUUCCAGGUAAAUCCGGUUCACUUUAACACUGAGGCGUGACGACGAGGCACUACGGUGCUGAAGCAACAAAUGCCCUGCUUCCAGGAAAAGCCUCUAAGCAUCAGGUAACAUCAAAUCGUACCCCAAACCGACACAGGUGGUCAGGUAGAGAAUACCAAGGCGCUUGAGAGAACUCGGGUGAAGGAACUAGGCAAAAUGGUGCCGUAACUUCGGGAGAAGGCACGCUGACACGUAGGUGAAGUGAUUUACUCAUGGAGCUGAA